GACGAACGCUGGCGGCGUGCUUAACACAUGCAAGUCGAACGGAAAGGCCUGCCUUCCCUUGUGGAUUGCGGGUACUCGAGUGGCGAACGGGUGAGUAACACGUGAGUGAUCUGCCCCCAACUUGGGUAUAAGCCUGGGAAACUGGGUCUAAUUCCCGAUAGGACUGCAGGGUGGUGCCUGUGGUGGAAAACGAUUUUCUAGUGGUUGGGGAUGAGCUCGCGGCCUAUCAGCUUGUUGGUGGGGUAAUGGCCUACCAAGGCGGCGACGGGUAGCCGGCCUGAGAGGGUGGACGGCCACAUUGGGACUGAGAUACGGCCCAGACUCCUACGGGAGGCAGCAGUGGGGAAUAUUGCACAAUGGGCGGAAGCCUGAUGCAGCGACGCCGCGUGGGGGAUGACGGCCUUCGGGUUGUAAACUCCUUUCGACCGCGAGGAAGCCACCUGGUUGGAAGGGUGGUGACGGUAGUGGUAGAAGAAGCACCGGCUAACUACGUG
rnacentral:rRNA from 1 species